UAUAUUUCAUUUUGUUAUCUUAAUAUGCAAGUAUAUGUGCCUAUUUCAUUUGCUUGUAUCCAUCCUUUUUAGUACAUGGAUCAGUCUUUAUUUAUUCAGGUUCAGACAUUGCGCAACUGAAGACUGUGUAUACUAGUCGAAGGCACGAGCUAUGCACGUGUUCUUCACUCACUCAUCCGUUUACUUGAGCAACAUUUAUUUUGAGACGGGAGUAGUAUGUAUGCUGUUGAGUGUUAAAUCCCGUCCAAAGGAUUGGCAAGUUGCUGCUUCGAAACUUGGUAGAUACAAACGAUUAGUGCUCUGUACAAGCUAGUUGUUCACGGAGUAGAAGGAAGGUUACUCUAGUCAUCGUUGUUUCCCGAUCAUAGCCACAAAAGAUCUUGAAUAGCAGAGUUUCACCAGUGGGCCCAUUUGGAGCCGUCAGGAUUCCAGAAAGGUCCCGGAGUCGUUUUGGCGCCUGCCCGUACAUAGCGAAUCUAAGAAAUGUCAACCAUUAGAUCUCUUGCGCAAGGUACUGAUGAACGGUGGAUAUUCAUUUUAUGGAACAAAUCAAUGACUUGUAUUUGCUCUGGAGUCUGGGCGGACUGCUAAUCCAAAUUCAAAAAAACUGUGUACUAUAGUAGUAGGGAAAUGUAGCGCUCUAUAAAGUUUUUGGUGCCUCCAUCUGAAAGAGCUAAAUUUAUAGACAUGAGUGUGGAUUUGAUAUUAAAAAUUUCUCUACAAAAGUAGCUACUUUUCCUGCCCUGAUUUACCAUCUAGCUAAUUAUUUCAUAGGAGUUCAAUACUGAGGUAACAUUUUUUUCUCUCAAACUUGUGCUUGAAUGUACCAAUGAAGAUGCUCUUCACAACUCUAAUUCUUGGUGCCAAUGGGUAUUCUUCCAUUUACUAUGAUUAAGUGCUCUUUGUGCUAAUUCUGGAUGUUAAAAGAAAACGAACUUUGACUAAUGAACAUGUAGUUGGAAUGAACAAGUACCCUUGUUUAUCUCCAUUGAUCGAUUGAUGUGAGAUCAUUUAGUUCACUCGUCAUCACGCACAUAUACUUGUACAUGUAAGAAGAGCAAUCAGAUAGAGAAUCUCUUUCUGUCUCUUCUCUGUUUGCUACAAAUAUAGACUGAAAGUGGAGUAUUGCUUCUAGAAUUUAAAGAUUUGAACUUGCAAAAGUGUUAGUUCUCUGAUAUGAAGUUUAUUAUUUAUGUUCUGUGAAAGUUGUUGUCUGAAUGUGAUAUUCCCAUAUAUUAUAUAAAGAACAAGUUCACAUCGGUACCAAAAAUUAAGCUUGGACAUGUUGCUUGCCUGAAUAUGAUAUACCCAUCUAUGUUGCUUGCCUGUGCUAUCAGCUACUGUGAUCUAUCUUUCAUACUUAUAUACACAUUAUGCUUGGACAUGUGUUGUUUGUGCGAAAGGAAACAUCUAGUAUUUUGUAAUGCUUGAACUCAGGGUAGUCACUACUCAAAUAUUUCUCCAUUUAAUCGAGUAAGAACAGUUCUUCAGAACAUUUUAUCGUUUUCAUCUUCAGACAUCUUGAUAGGAAGCACCAGGGAAUGUUUGCAGUUUCAAUUUAUAUUGUACAUAAAGGACUGUAGAUAUGCUCUCUGCCAGUGAAAACUUCUAAAUGAUCUAUGCACUAAGGCAGUGCCGCAGUGGAUACUUCUAAAUGACUGCACACAUGUUUUAUUAAGUCUUAUCAGUAUAGGGGGUUCAAUAAUCUUUUGGUGCUAAACAAGUGGAUGCUACAACUGAAUACUAAAUCAGUAAAACACUGUAGGAGUUUUACAAGCAAGCUUUGGGUAAAACGAUUUUUGUAUUGUGCUGUUUAUUCCCAUUGGUCGAUCGAUGUGAGAUCAUCUAGUUCAACUGUCAUCAUGCACAUAUACUGUUACAUGGAAGAAAAAUAACUAGCUAGAGAAAAUAUUUAUGUCUCCUUUCAUUUUGCUGCUAAGACAGACUGAAAGUGGAGUACUCUUCUAGAAUUUAAUUGUUAUUACAUGCUGCUUUUAUAAGGUUGGGGUCUUCAAUCUAGUUUUUACUCAAUAAGUUAAUGUUUCUUAAGAAUAACAUGAAGCAUGGAUUCUUAUAUGUUCCAUGUAUUAUGUCAGGGCAAGUAAUUAUCAGCUGAGCAAAGGCUACAACAUGCUAGGAGGAGAAGUUUGAAUGGAGGCAGAGAGUACACUUGGAAAUAGAAUGGAAAAAGGAAGAGGAGACAAUGCUGAAGCACAAGAGCGAGAGGCUAGCGGAAGUUAAAGCAAUAAACUAUAAGCAUUUUGAAUGAUUAGGGCCUCGUGUUGUUGGGAACAUUACAACCAUGGGGAAAGCUAAUUUUGGUUGCGAGUUUAGCAUAGAAGCCACUAUAUGCUCAUUCUGGUCGUGUGUCGCAUCCAAAAACAUAUGUAAUUUUCCUUUUGUUGCACAACAUCCUUAUAUAUGGGCGUUUCUAGAAACAUAUGUAUUUGGUCGUUAAUUUUAUUGAAUGAAGUUAAAGUUUUAUGAUGA